CAGCCGCCGCGGUAAAACCAGCACCUCAAGUGGUCAGGAUGAUUAUUGGGCCUAAAGCAUCCGUAGCCGGCUCUGUAAGUUUUCGGUUAAAUCUGUACGCUUAACGUACAGGCUGCCGGGAAUACUGCAAAGCUAGGGAGUGGGAGAAGUAGACGGUACUCGGUAGGAAGUGGUAAAAUGCUUUGAUCUAUCGAUGACCACCUGUGGCGAAGGCGGUCUACUAGAACACGUCCGACGGUGAGGGAUGAAAGCUGGGGGAGCAAACCGGAUUAGAUACCCGGGUAGUCCCAGCUGUAAACUAUGCAAACUCAGUGAUGCAUUGGCUUGUGGCCAAUGCAGUGCUGCAGGGAAGCCGUUAAGUUUGCCACCUGGGAAGUACGUACGCAAGUAUGAAACUUAAAGGAAUUGGCGGGGGAGCAC
rnacentral:rRNA from 2 species